GUCGAACGGAAAGGCCCUUCGGGGUACUCGAGUGGCGAACGGGUGAGUAACACGUGGGUGAUCUGCCCUGCACUUUGGGAUAAGCCUGGGAAACUGGGUCUAAUACCGAAUAUGACCAUGCACUUCCUGGUGUGUGGUGGAAAGCUUUUGCGGUGUGGGAUGGGCCCGCGGCCUAUCAGCUUGUUGGUGGGGUAAUGGCCUACCAAGGCGACGACGGGUAGCCGGCCUGAGAGGGUGACCGGCCACACUGGGACUGAGAUACGGCCCAGACUCCUACGGGAGGCAGCAGUGGGGAAUAUUGCACAAUGGGCGCAAGCCUGAUGCAGCGACGCCGCGUGAGGGAUGACGGCCUUCGGGUUGUAAACCUCUUUCAGCACAGACGAAGCGCAAGUGACGGUAUGUGCAGAAGAAGGACCGGCCAACUACGUGCCAGCAGCCGCGGUAAUACGUAGGGUCCGAGCGUUGUCCGGAAUUACUGGGCGUAAAGAGCUCGUAGGUGGUUUGUCGCGUUGUUCGUGAAAACUCACAGCUUAACUGUGGGCGUGCGGGCGAUACGGGCAGACUUGAGUACUGCAGGGGAGACUGGAAUUCCUGGUGUAGCGGUGGAAUGCGCAGAUAUCAGGAGGAACACCGGUGGCGAAGGCGGGUCUCUGGGCAGUAACUGACGCUGAGGAGCGAAAGCGUGGGGAGCGAACAGGAUUAGAUACCCUGGUAGUCCACGCCGUAAACGGUGGGUACUAGGUGUGGGUUUCCUUCCUUGGGAUCCGUGCCGUAGCUAACGCAUUAAGUACCCCGCCUGGGGAGUACGGCCGCAAGGCUAAAACUC
rnacentral:rRNA from 2 species